CAGCUCUCCGAGUGGUGGGGAUGCUUAUUGGGCCUAAAGCAUUCGUAGCCUGCUUGGCAAGUCCUCCGUUAAAUCCAACGAUUCAAUCGUUGGGCUGCGGGGGACACUGUCCGGCUAGGGGGCGGGAGAGGCCGACGGUAUCCUCGGGGUAGGGGUGAAAUCCUAUAAUCCCGGGAGGACCACCAGUGGCGAAGGCUGUCGGCUAGAACGCGCUCGACGGUGAGGGAUGAAAGCUGGGGGAGCGAACCGGAUUAGAUACCCGAGUAGUCC
rnacentral:rRNA from 1 species